rnacentral:misc_RNA from 1 species
UUCAAUUCUAUUCAAAGAAUUCAGAAAACUCUGUCUUUAGACUGAAAUAAGAAAUUUAUAUUUAAAAGAAAAAGAAAAAAUGACAGCAGCUGAAUUGCAGUUACCUCCAGGAUUCAGAUUUCAUCCAACUGAUGAAGAACUUGUGACGCAUUAUUUAUGCAGAAAAUGCACUUCACAGCCAAUUGCUGUACCAAUUGUAGCAGAAAUUGAUCUCUACAAGUUUGAUCCAUGGGAUCUUCCUGAUUUGGCAUUGUAUGGAG